CCUACGGGGUGCAGCAGUGAGGAAUAUUGGUCAAUGGGCGCGAGCCUGAACCAGCCAAGUCGCGUGAGGGAGGACGGCCCUACGGGUUGUAAACCUCUUUUGCCGGGGAGCAACGUGCGCCACGUGUGGCGUCCCUGAUAGUACCCGGAGAAAAAGCAUCGGCUAACUCCGUGCCAGCAGCCGCGGUAAUACGGAGGAUGCGGGCGUUCUCCGGAUUUAUUGGGUUUAAAGGGUGCGUAGGCGGCGCGUUAAGUCAGUGGUCAAAUUGAGGGGCUCAACCCCUUCCCGCCAUUGAAACUGGCGUGCUUGAGUGGAAGAGAAGUAUGCGGAAUGCGUGGUGUAGCGGCGAAAUGCAUAGAUAUCACGCAGAACCCCGAUUGCGAAGGCAGCAUGCCGGCUUCCGACUGACGCUGAAGCACGAAAGCGUGGGGAUCGAACAGGAUUAGAUACCCCUGUAGUC
rnacentral:rRNA from 1 species